AAGAGGGGUGCCCGCUCGUUGGGCUGAGAUUACACCCUGGAACUUGAUGCGGGUCAUGCCGCCGUAAGGACUUGAUGUUUU
rnacentral:ncRNA from 1 species